rnacentral:rRNA from 1 species
AUUGAACGCUGGCGGCAGGCCUAACACAUGCAAGUCGAACGGUAACAGGAAGAAGCUUGCUUCUUUGCUGACGAGUGGCGGACGGGUGAGAAAUGUCUGGGAAACUGCUUGAUGGAGGGGGAUAACUACUGGAAACGGUAGCUACUACAGCAUAACGUCGCAAGACUAAAAAGGGGGACCUUCGGGCCUCUUGCCAUCGGAUGUGCCCAGCUGGGCUUAGCUUGUAGGGGGGGUAAGGGCUCACCUGGGCGACGAUCCCUAGCUGGUCUGAGGGAAUGGGCGCCCACACUGGAGCUGGGCCGCGGUCCAGGCUCCUGCGAGAGGGACCAGUGGGGAAUGUUGCGCAGUAGGCGCAAGCCUGAUGCAGCCGUGCCGCGUGUAUGACGACAGCCUUCGGGUUGUAAAGUACUUUCAGCGGGGGGAAAGGGAGUUAAGUUAAUACCUAUGCUCAUUGACGUUACCCGCAGAAGAAGCGCCGGCUAACUCCGUG